rnacentral:rRNA from 1 species
UUGAACGCUGGCGGCAUGCUUUGCACAUGCAAGUCGAACGGUAACAGCACUUCGGUGGCUGACGAGUGGCGAACGGGUGAGUAAUACAUCGGAACGUGCCUAGUAGUGGGGGAUAACUACUCGAAAGAGUAGCUAAUACCGCAUGAGAUCUAAGGAUGAAAGCAGGGGACCUUCGGGCCUUGCGCUACUAGAGCGGCUGAUGGCAGAUUAGGUAGUUGGUGGGAUAAAAGCUUACCAAGCCGACGAUCUGUAGCUGGUCUGAGAGGACGACCAGCCACACUGGGACUGAGACACGGCCCAGACUCCUACGGGAGGCAGCAGUGGGGAAUUUUGGACAAUGGGCGCAAGCCUGAUCCAGCAAUGCCGCGUGCAGGAUGAAGGCCUUCGGGUUGUAAACUGCUUUUGUACGGAACGAAAAGCCCUCUUCUAAUACAGGAGGGUCAUGACGGUACCGUAAGAAUAAGCACCGGCUAACUACGUG